UUAGUUUGAUACCUGUCAGCUUCUGAAAAUAUAGGUUACGCCGCCUUCAUAGAAAUAGCACCCGGCCAAGUGUAUAUCUAUACGUUCGCGUCGAUGCAACACUUGCAGCCUGCUGUGACUAAAUCAAAUUUUACAGUCCGCGGUACUUACGAGAUAUUUAUUUAUAAUUAUUCGCCGAUGUCAACGAGAGGCACCCAUCGAUUCCUGGAAAAUUAAACGCCGAAAGGAUAACGCUCUAGUCGAUUCCACGUGAAAUCGGUAACCGAAGGACCGACAGGGUGACAUUUAAAUGCCAUACAUUUUAUCGGCGUUUGAUAUCAACAUUUGCUCCCAUCUCUUGUUUAUUGGCAUCCGAUCCGGGGAAGCUCGAUCGGGAAACGGACUUUGUCGAUCCAUUUUUAAUGCGACGAGUCGAGGACGUCAUUUGUAAUGGAUUAUUGAUCCGUGACAUGGACGUCGAUGUAGAGGGUUCUGCGGGGUAACAGGUAUUGAUUUAAUGCGUUUGUAAUUGGAUAUCAUGCACUGGGCAUUCUAAUGCAAUACAUAGUUUUAACCGGCUCAUUAGUCGGCUUGCUGCGAUUACAUGUAUUACACGACCGAUGGGACACGAUCAACGAUCGAGGUCGAUUUUGAGAUUGAGCAUACGGGAUCCUUUAUUUAAGGCCCAUUCUCUCGGUGCACCAUGCAUUUUACAUGCGCCUACGAUACUUCCUCCCUCGGUGGCCUCAUACAUUAUUGCCGUGUAAUUGCACGGAACGGUCCACGAGUACUCCGGAGUACCCACACAAGAGAGGUCCUUUAUGAAGUUAUGCUCCAACUCGGGUACACGUAAAUACGCAUUAUACCGAGAUAACACGUAGGUAAACCCAC
rnacentral:lncRNA from 1 species